rnacentral:sRNA from 1 species
AAGGCACUGGGGGAGCCGAAGCUCCCCCCCAAAGUGGUACGUGCUUUGUUUUUAUUGUCUAUCCAGACCUCUUGUUUUUCUUGUGUGGUCUGUCCCGUGCGGUUACCGGCCGCCGGAAGGGCUCUGAAGUCUAGAGCCAAGAGCAAACGGAUUACUUUGGAAGCUGAUGCCGUCAGGAUCAUUCCUGCUCUGCCUGGUACGGGUGCUGCCUCGGGGCAGUU